AAAAAGUUUCAGAGAAGUUCAAAUUGUGAAAAUUAAGGUACUGAGAAAUGUUGCCAGAGGUUAUGAACUGCAUUUUUUUUUUUUUUUAGCGUGUUUGGAGUAAGGAUUGGAAUGACUGUCUUUUUCCUUGUAGCUGAUGAAACUGAAUGGUUUGAAUGGUGUCCAGGUAACAACAGACAGAUGCUGACUCCAGAAUGAAUGACUGCAGUGAUGGAAUACUCAAGCAAAGACUGCCAAGCCUCCACACGGGAGUCCGUGCCUGAACGCGAAAUAAAGAGGGAUCCAUGGAAUGAUUGUCCCACGAUGGUAACUUCGUGAUCAUCUUUACAAAAUACGAACAUAGGCCCAUGGAGAGAGGAAAUCAAAC
rnacentral:lncRNA from 1 species